GAUUGGGUUGUGAUAUAUAUAUAUAUACAAACGGGGGCUUAUUGAAUGAAAUGUUUUUUUUGAACAACAGAGUGAAAUGUUUAACUCAUCAAAAUUAGUAUAAAGGAAAAAAGUAGGUCUGACAUAAGAAUUCAUUGGACAAAAUAGUCACACACACAACACAUAUGGCCUUUUCGCCGGCUGUGUUACUCACGCGCCACCUUUGAAAAGCCGGUCUAAAUUGAAGACCUCAAUCUGUUUUCUGUUUUCGAAUUUGACAGACCAGGUGUGCUCUUUUACCCAGUCACUAUAAAACACAUGUUUUUGAAACUCUGUAGAACUCUUAGCAAGGAUUGGACCAAACUAAAACAAAAGUAGAAAAGCUCCCCCUCUCUCUCUCCCCCUCUCUCUCUCUCUCUCUCUCUCUCUCCCCUUUAUAUACCGACUGUGUCGCCAUAAAACAAAUACUCAUCAAACAGCUAGAUCUCUGAGAAUUGAAAUACGAUUGAGUUAAGGGUUCUCUCGCAUGUUCAUUAGGGUUUGGAGAGAUCUGUGAGCACGGGGAGUGAGGAUGAGAGAGUUUGAGUCUUUUUGCACAGAAAGUCCAUGUGGGUGCUGUAUUUAAUUAUAAGUUGCUAGAAGACAGAGAAGAAAUGCAACAGAGAAAACUGACAGAAGAGAGUGAGCACUUGCAAGACACUGUUAUGUAUCAAUAACUUUGCGUGUGCGUGCUCACCUCUCUUUCUGUCAGUUGCCUGACUUCUCGCUUUCUCUCUCUCUUCUCUCAACUUUUUUGGCCUUUUUUAUCAUCUACAUAUCACUUACCUUCUUAUCAUCUCUUUUGUUGUGCACUGGCAUGGUGAUGUAGAUAAGACUGACGCCCUUUCAUUAUCAUUUCGUUAUCUGUAUGUUUUUUCUUCAUCUUUUUUUUGUAUAGGGGUUGAAGUGUGUGCUCGCCUAUGCUUCAGAUUUUUUGUUCUCAAGCAUUUUGGUGAAGAAAAGCUCAGAUUUUCAUAUCUGGGGUUUAUGAUGAUAAAUAUAAACUUUAAAAUUAGCUGUUUUGUUUUCUUCUAGUGGAUCUAAGAAAAGCGCGAGUUUUGAUGAUCAUGAACCCCCACCGGUACACAUUCUUCUCUGAGAUUAAUUAACUAUUUAUUCAUUGCCUCUUUGUCUUUUUUCGGAUAUAAUUUGCGUUUUUCUUCUUUUUUUUGUUUGUUUAAGUUUCUGCAUGUUGAAAUUCUUUGAAAAUCUUAGUAGCUACAUGCAAUUGAAUCUCAGUUUAUAUAUGCAUCUGUCUUCUUUCUUUUCAAAUUCUAGAAACCAGAUGUGGUUUUCAGGUUUCAUCAUAAGCCAUUAAUGAUGGAAUUUUGUGAAUAACAUGUACAUACUAGUUCUGUACCGUUUUAAUGGGAGUAUGAAUUUUUCUAAGGAGUAAUGGUUUGUACGGAUUAAUACACGUUUUUGCAUUGAAGUCUUAUCUUGGCAUGUGACCCGGAAGUAGGUGGAGGAGAUUCGCUGAAAUUGAUUUCUUUGCAAGUUGUGAUCCAAAGUAAAAAGAUUGGUUAACCCUAUACCUAAUACUUCUUUAUAUAUCCUUUUUUUCCUUGCAAAUAUCUUCGUUUUUUGCGUCUAAUUUUGCUAGGAAAUAAUUUUUAUUUCUUCCAAGUCGCAAUGUUAGUUUCUACUAAAACAGUUUAUCUUAUAUAGUACAAAAGGAGGUUGAAAACGUUAGUUUAUACUGAAAUCGCAUCACUCUUCUGCUGUUUUUUAAUUGCAAUGGUUGGUUUAGUACAAGUUUUAGAGUUACUAUAUUUCAUCUUAUCUUAUUCUGGUUGGUUUGAUCUUUUGUUGUGCUGGCCAAGUCCAACUUAAUGUAUUUUAAUCAAAGUUUAGGGCUUUGUAAUUGUAUGCCUAGUUUUGCAGUUAUUUUGCUAGAGUCUGAUUUGAGCAAAGGCAUGAGUUGGUUUUUUGUCUCCUCACUAUUGGCUUUGUAAGGCAUUUUGCUAACCUUGUGUCAACCAUUCAAUUAUGGAAAUGUGUUUGUGUUGUGUUUGAUGAAAUCCAAUUGUGAAAUAUGGGUAAGGGUACAGGUGUCUAAUGUGCUUCACCUUGAAAUCCAUAGUUGAAGUCGUGAAUAGAUAACAGUGGAGCCGGAUCAGGUGUCUGGUGUUGUGUUUGAUGAAAUCAAAUUGUAAAUCUGGUGUUGUGUUUGAUGAAAUCAAAUUGUAAACCUGGUUGAUUACCUGUUCUAGUGUCUUAAGGGCUUCACCAGCUUUUUUCCUUAGCAUGGUAAGUCAUGUAUAUAUAAUUUGACCUCUAUAUAAGGCAGACUUUAGAAAUUUCAUGUACUUAUUGUUGGUUUAGGUUAUUGUGAUGACUGUGUUGUUUCUGCUGGUCUUCAUCCACUUAAAUUCAGAUAUUUGUUCUUGAAGUAGUUCUCAAUCAGUGGGUUCAAAUGAGCAUUAGACUUCAGAUUUUGUAAGGGGAUAGAGAGACGAUUGUGUUUGUCGACUGUGAAAUAUUUUAGACUGUAUCUUGUUAGAGUAUCAUAUUUUCAUAACCACGGAUUGAUGUAGAGGCCGAGCACCAUGUGAUAUACUGAUGUGUUAGGCUAUCUUUGUUAUCUUCCUUUUGUUGCAUCUCCAAUUAAGCAAUUAAGCUCUACUGAUUGUUAGAUAGGUGAACUAAAGCAAAAGAAAAGUUAUUGAGCUUGAGGGCAUUUAUUUGUAAGCGUUAAAGUAACUCUAGUGAUGAUACCAUUGUGAGAAAAGUGUUGAUUGAUUUGUUUAAUCCUUGCUGUGCAAGUGAGUUUACUAUGGCUGAACAGGAUCCUGUUUUUUUGGUUUUGGGCACUGUCAUCACCAAAAACCUACGCAAGAAAAGACAUCCCUCGUGAAAGCAAUAAUAACAACCUGAUUUAGUGUUUGAUUGCUUUUGCAGGAGUGAGAUCAAUAUCAAGUGGGAAGAUAAUUCAAGGAUAUAUAAAUUUCAAGUGGGUUUGUUGACUUGAAACUGAAGAUUGGCAAGAGCACUUGUUGGUUAUUGUAUUUUGUGAUCACGGAUGCAUCAGCUCCAUCAGCCUUUUUUCUUCUCGUCUCUCUGCGUACGAGAGAGAGAGAGCAUCUCUGAGGACUCAUACAGGAUUAAGGUAUACUUGCUUCUUUAUUGAUUAAGGUCUUAGCGUAAAGAUGAUAAGGCAAAUUCUGUUAUGAGAGUACGUCAGCGAUCCAAUUCUCAGCGACUAAUAAACAGCAUGAUACGAUCCUGCGGCCAAUCUUCUCAAAUUUACAGCAAAAGUUGUGAGUUUAUUAUGAUCAUAUAUAUAUAUAUAUAUAUAUAUACUUGUCUUACUUGAUCUUAACAUAAGAAGCAAGGCGGUGAAUGGAGAAGGUGUUCUCGAUAUAAUCAAGUCUGCUAUCUUUCAGCUCGUUGGGAUAGGGGUUGAAUUGUAAAAAUAACCUCCAAACUAGAUGGUAAAUCUGUAUGUUUGCUUAUAGAAAUUAGAACCAACUCAUCUUAAUUCCGCUAGAUACAACGCGGACUAGUCGACCAAUUUAAGGCAAUCGACGAAAUGAAUGAGAACCUUCUUUAAGA